rnacentral:rRNA from 1 species
GCCCUAGAGUUUGAUCCUGGCUCAGAUUGAACGCUGGCGGCAGGCCUAACACAUGCAAGUCGAGCGGAAACGAGUUAUCUGAACCUUCGGGGAACGAUAACGGCGUCGAGCGGCGGACGGGUGAGUAAUGCCUAGGAAAUUGCCUUGAUGUGGGGGAUAACCAUUGGAAACGAUGGCUAAUACCGCAUAAUGCCUACGGGCCAAAGAGGGGGACCUUCGGGCCUCUCGCGUCAAGAUAUGCCUAGGUGGGAUUAGCUAGUUGGUGAGGUAAUGGCUCACCAAGGCGACGAUCCCUAGCUGGUCUGAGAGGAUGAUCAGCCACACUGGAACUGAGACACGGUCCAGACUCCUACGGGAGGCAGCAGUGGGGAAUAUUGCACAAUGGGCGAAAGCCUGAUGCAGCCAUGCCGCGUGUAUGAAGAAGGCCUUCGGGUUGUAAAGUACUUUCAGUUGUGAGGAAGGGGGUGUCGUUAAUAGCGGCAUCUCUUGACGUUAGCAACAGAAGAAGCACCGGCUAACUCCGUGCCAGCAGCCGCGGUAAUACGGAGGGUGCGAGCGUUAAUCGGAAUUACUGGGCGUAAAGCGCAUGCAGGUGGUUCAUUAAGUCAGAUGUGAAAGCCCGGGGCUCAACCUCGGAACUGCAUUUGAAACUGGUGAACUAGAGUACUGUAGAGGGGGGUAGAAUUUC